rnacentral:rRNA from 1 species
AGGGUUUGAUCAUGGCUCAGAACUAACGCUGGUGGCGUGUCUUAGUCAUGCAAGUCGAACGAGAAAGUACCCUUCGGGGUGCGAGUAAAGUGGCGCACGGGUGAGUAACACGUGGGUAACCUGCCUUGUGGUGGGGGAUAACCCUCCUAACGGAGGAGUAAUACCGCAUGAUGUGUCUCUUUCGCAUGAGAGAGAUACCAAAGGGGCUUCGGUCCCGCCAUAAGAUGGACCCGCGGUUCAUUAGCUUGUUGGUGAGGUAACGGCUCACCAAGGCGACGAUGAAUAGCCGGCCUGAGAGGGUGAUCGGCCACACUGGAACUGAGAUAAGGUCCAGUCCCCUACGGAGGCCAGCAGUCUAGAAAUUUGCGCAAUGGGGGAAACCCUGACGCAGCGACGCCACGUGGAGGAUGAAGCCCCUAGGGGUGUAAACUCCUGUCGAGAGGGAAGAACGCGGUGAAUAACUUUCACCGUCUGACGGUACCUCUAAAGGAAGCUCCGGCUAACUCUGUGCCAGCAGCCGCGGUAAUACAGAGGGAGCAAGCGUUGUUCGGAUUUACUGGGCGUAAAGCGCGCGCAGGCGGGCGAAUAAGUCGGACGUGAAAAUUGUGGGCUCAACCUACAACCUGCGUCCGAAACUGUUUGUCUUGAGUACAGGAGAGGUGAGUGGAAUCUAUGGUGUAGCGGUGAAAUG